AUCGGGGGAGGAAACUGCUGUCGAACCUGGGAAGGAGCACAACUGCAAUUAAAAUGCUGGCUCAGAUCUGCCCAUUUCACAGGACCAGAGAGUUACUGAGUUGAAGUUCAAUACGUGACCUCGCUGUUGAAAUUGUACCAGCAGCUUUAGGUAAUAAUAAACAACAGAAUAUUUGUACAACACACAGGACAACAAGGCCCUGAUUCCUGGCUGAGGGAGACAAUAAGCAAACUAAAGCAAAUUAAUUGGAGUUCAUACCUUGAGUGGUGUCAACAGCACGAGAGGAACCUCUGGAACAACACAGCUGGUUAAAGGUCACUAAAACACCAAGGUCUGCCUACACACCAGAUUGUGCAUGAACUGAAGUGUCCACCUGGGAGAAUUCCUGGAUUUAUCUGUUCUGCACCACGAUAAAACACUGAACUGGCCUCUUCAGACCUACCUGUGGGCUGUGUGUCUCACAGUCCAUCGCUUGAACAGCAGCAGUGAAGUGCCCACCACUGUGUCGAUGCUGGUGUGUGGGGUCCGACCGUGCCCUCCCGCUGUUGCUCGUUCCGGAAGAUCCACCUGGAAAACCAGAACGGGCCCGAUAACUAAAGAGGCACCAAAUUUAAAGCUGCAAAACGGUGGCUGCGUGAAGAUAACGUGACCUGCUCCAAGAGGAAAGUACGAGAUGAUCACUCACAUUUUUUUGCUCAUCUAGUUUUUGGUUUUUGGUUGGGCUGGUGCCUGUUCCAGCUGAUUAAAAGAAUCGUUUCAUGA